GUGCAGAAGGACACUAGCCCUAAGCAUGUGCCACUUCAUGCCCCUGUCACGUGCUCCUCCGUCUUCCUGACUCCACUUUCUCGGGUCCAUUCCUGGCCAGAAGAUGAAAGAAGCCACAGUAAAACCUGGCUGCCUGGGUCUAUCUUUCCCUACAUGGAGGUGAAUUCUUUACCAUCUGAGCAACCAGCGAAGCCCAACCAUCAUAUUCUGCAUUAAAACUCUUUGUUCAACUGUUUAAAUUUUUAGAAGCUCUUAAGUGGAUGGAAGAAAGCACCAAUUGAAAUGGAAUAUACCUUGAAAAAUCAGAGUUCUGGAGAAUCAGAGAAGGGAGAGAUCACAAACAGCUCCAUGGAAUCCAUGAGCACUGAAGAGAGGUAGGUCAGGCAGCAUCUGGAGGAGGGCACUCUGGAAACAACACUGUGGGCACUGGUACAGACACGAAAAGAAAAACAAAUGUUCAGGGGACAGAUUGCUUGAAACACAAGGUUUGGGUAUGCCAAGAUGACCGAAAAGAGGUGCUAUCUUGGGUUGCUGUUAAUAAUAAGGCAUUUGUGUGUUUCUCCAUAACUAAAAAGGGCUUCCGUGGUGGCUCAGACAGUAAAGAAUCUGCCUGCAAUGCAGGAGACCCGGGUUCCAUCCCUGGGUCAAGAAGAUCUCCUGGAGAAGGGAAUGGCAACCCACUCUCGUAUUCUUGCUUGGAGAAUUCCAUGGACAGAGCAGCCUGGCGGGCUACAAUCCAUGGGUUUGCAAAGAGUCAGAUACGACUGAGCGACUAACACACACACCAUAACUAAAAGAGCAGUGUUGUAUUAGUUACCUAUUCCUGUUGUAUUGUUACCUAUACCAAAAAAUUACUUAUUGGUUUAAAACAACCCAAAUUUAUUAUUGUACAACUCUCUAGAGCAG
ensembl:lncRNA